AUGAAUGACCUUUAUUCUGCCUUGUUUUAUCUCAGACUUCAGUCACUUGCCUCAUUUGCAUCUCUAGGCUGGUCAAAGCUCAAGCAAGACUAGGCUCUCUAUAAACGUGUCUACAAAAGAAUAACCAGAAGCUGAAUGAAUUCUGAGUUCUUCAAUCUGUAAGCUUUCUGGGUCAACUGAAAUUAUCUCCCCAUGAAAUAGUUCAAAAAGCACAUCACCAUUCCUCCUAAAGCCCAGUGCCCUUGGAACACCACCCUCAUAUCUGCCAAUAGUUAGUAUGGUGUCACAGAGUCAUGGACAAAGAUACUAACUAUUGGCAGAU
rnacentral:misc_RNA from 1 species